CUGUCUCCUGGGCUGGAAUGCAGUAGCACAAACUUGGCUCAAUGCAACCUCUGCCUCCCAGGUCCAGGUUCAAGCGAUCCUCCUGUGUCCAGAAUUGGUGGGUUCUUGGUCUCACUGACUUGAAGAAUGAAGCCAUGGACCCUCGCGUGUCAUUCCUUUGGGUGAGUCAUUGCUGCCUCCAAGGGAUCCCAUAUUACGAUGCCCCCUUGGGAGGGGUGAGGAAGCCUGACUAACACCUGAGUGUAAAGAGGUUCACCCUACACUUCCUGACGUGGCAGGGGCACUGUCUUUUGAAGAGACCAGGCCAUCUGUUUCACUUGUGGGGUUUGUCUUACUGUUUUCUUGUGGUGGAGUUUUUGGUGAAGUUUUGAAGAAGGAUGAAAACACUCUGGAGCUUGAGCUGGAAUCCCUGGGCUGCCCCAAGGACACAUGCUCUGCUGCCUGUUGAAAAUGAGGGAAGAAACCAAUAAACAGGGAGCAUUCA